CAUUAAGACAACAGCCGGCGCUUAAAUCGCCAACGAAAUUCGCGGAAAAUAAUGCUCGCUCCCUUAAACCGGAAACAUACCCGAUUGUGGCAGUAGAUUUUGGAAUGCAGUCGACAGUGCGGUCUGGUUCGGUCAGCAUGAAGUGUUAUGAAGUGCCAGUUUGCCAACCUGAUCACUGGUUUUUGACAGCAGACCGUCUACUUCCUUGAUACCUGAACAACUCCUACAGUGAAGAGGCAUUUCCUGAACAAUGGAGAAUGUCCAACUUUUCUUGGCGAAUUCCAGACCUACCAUCAGGAUGCAGUGUUCUGUAAGACACUGCAAGAGCUUUGUCCUUCUGGGAUUCCUAAUCCUUUGAAUGGAGAAAUCAAGACAUUGCUGUAUAUGUGACAAUGACAAUACCAUAUUGUUGGACAUUAAUUAAAAAGGGCAUUGAUAAUUGUUGUGAUUUUUCUGAUUUGGUCAUACAGUCAGAAUGAAGGAAAGACAAAUAUCAUGGUUCAUGAACUUCAGAUACACUUUUAAGCUCCUCUGGUACAAACUGUCAUAAUCUUAUGGUAUAGUGAAGUGUCUGUCAUAAGUCUGUCUGGGAUAAAUACUUUAAAGUUUCAUCAUGUAGAUUACCUUGACCUUCUUUCAAGGUCACAGGUGUCCAAAACAGGCAUCAGUUUCUUAAAAACUGGUCUUGAGUCAUGAUAUUUCAUGAUGAUUAUAUUUUAUUCAGUAUUCCUUUGCAUUGCUUUGUUUAAAAA